GACGAACGCUGGCGGUGUGCUUAACACAUGCAAGUCGAACGGUAAGGCCCUUUCGGGGGUACACGAGUGGCGAACGGGUGAGUAACACGUGAGUAACCUGCCCUCAUCUCUGGGAUAACAGUCGGAAACGGUUGCUAAUACUGGAUAUGAGCUUGCAAGGCAUCUUGUGGGUUGGAAAGAUUUUUUUUGGUUGGGGAUGGACUCGCGGCCUAUCAGCUUGUUGGUGAGGUAGUGGCUCACCAAGGCUUCGACGGGUAGCCGGCCUGAGAGGGCGACCGGCCACAUUGGGACUGAGAUACGGCCCAAACUCCUACGGGAGGCAGCAGUGGGGAAUAUUGCACAAUGGACGGAAGUCUGAUGCAGCAACGCCGCGUGCGGGAUGACGGCCUUCGGGUUGUAAACCGCUUUCAAUUGUGAAGAAGCUUUUUUGUGACAGUAGCAGUAGAAGAAGCACCGGCUAACUACGUG
rnacentral:rRNA from 1 species